UGUCUGAUUGACAGGAACAACAGAUUCGACUCUUCUGAUAUGCGAGCCGGCUCCCAUCGUUCACCUACAAGAGCCGGCUCUUAGAGCCGACUCCAUCGCGAACGACCCAAAGCAGUCUGGACUGGUUGAAGCACAGUGUGAAGGAUUAUUUUGAAAGUGUUUCAGUCUGCCGUGAAUCAUCAUAAUCCAUACACUGAUGGCUCAUUGCGGGACGAAGCAACGUUAACCCAGCUAGCUGAGCAGGCCAGUUGCAUUCUGCUGUUAAUGUUGAAUGCAUGAACCUGCUCUCUGCCACCAGUAAAAGGAGAUGAUUGAGGGUGAACAUGCAACACAUCAGCUUUAAUUGUCUGGAGGCUGGUGUUGUGGCUAAGGAGCUUUCACUCAGAUGGGACCAGGUUCCAGCUGCUGUGCAAUGUUGAUGUCCUUCCUCCCAGACAUGUGAAUGCAUCCCCCAGACUGGACACAACCCGGCAAACAUAUUUUUUGAGGAGAUCAGGACUUUUGCAAUGAAAAGGCCAUGGACACUAUGUCCUGCUCCAAAGGGCAGGAUAGAAAUAUGCUCUCAGGCUAGAUUCCUUUGUUCAUAUCAUAACAUAACCUGAACCAAAGUUAUUCUAAUGAUCUUGUGAUAUAGGCCUAGGUCAAUAUAUUGUUUUUACCUCAGCCUUUGUGUUUGUGUGUUUUUAAGAAUUUCAUUUGUAGGCUACUACCUUUAGCACUGGAAGUUAAUAAAGUAUUGUUGAAAUAUUGUCUUUGUUUUUUAAGCACUACCUCACUGCUUUAGCACAUUGCCAUGGUCACGUGUUCCAAUGUGAAUCUUUUAAGAGAUGGCUAGGUCUAAGCCUUUAGAGUGUGUGAACGACGCUAAAUGGGCGUAAACAAAGAACAGCACUGUAGCUGUUCAAUGUGAAAGGUUAUUUUUAUUAUACAGCAAUAGGCAAUGUAAUACUGUACAUGGUUUGCCUAAUGGGGUAACUUGGUAUUAGUAUUCCUAUAGAAAAGUAUUCCUUCUCUAAAUAUAUGUUUCCCAAGUAUUAAUGUAGAGGAUGUGUGAAAAUCACAGCAAAAUGUUUGAAUGCCCGCUUCUCCUAAAUGGGAUUAUAAGUUUAUCAACUUUUAAAGCAGCAUUACUUACCCAUGUUUCCUCCAACUGCAGUGUAUGAUAUACCGUUUUGAAGCAUC